CUGGACUCAAUGCUUUACAUGCAUUAUUAUUUCAUUUAAUCCUCUCCACAACCUGAGAUAAUCAUCCCAGUCUACAGAGAGGAAACUGAGGCUUAGAGACUCAAAGUAAAUUGCCUGAGAUUAGAGUAAAUAGAAGCUGAAAUUCAACCCCAUGUGUAUCUGACAAAAGAGUUCAUGCUGCUAACAUUAGGAUCUGAUGCAUUAUCGAGAGUAGAGGAUGCGUACCAGUCAGGAAGGGCUACAUGUUACUGUGGGUAACAAACAGUCCCAAAGUUGCAGUGGAUUAUAACAAGGACGGUGUCUUUCUUGCUCACACCACUUGUCUACCAUAGCUUUCCCGGAGCCUUUGCUCCACAUCCCCUCAUCCUGGGACCAGGAUAAAGGAGCAGCCACCAUGUAGGUACCUCCCAGAGCACUAGAAGAGAUGGAUAGAAGGGGUGGCCUGUCUCAAUGACUCCCACCUUUUCUGUUAAAUGUGGCACACUUCACUCCUUCUCAUAUCUCACUGGUCAAAGUACAUCAAAGGGCUGCAUCCAACUUCAGGAGGUCAGAGGAGAAUCUGACAUAAAUGGUGAACCCCAUUAAGGCCCCCACAUGGCACCAGCCUGUCUGGGGGACUGUGAGAGGGCAAAGGAGGAGAGCUGAGGGUUGACAGAAAAUGACGGGGGGACUUAGUCAGAAUGUGUUUGCUUUAUCCUCAACCAGGUGGAGUUUGUCUCAGAGCUGCCCAAAACCAUCACUGGCAAGAUAAAAAGAAGUGAACUCCGGAAGAAGGAGUUUGGUCAGAUGUAAUUGGCAGUAAACUCAGAAACCACUGUGUGAUGUUGGCCAAAUGCCUGGCGGCCUCAGGUUCCUCACGAUGGUGAGGGUGAGGAGAGGAACGCUGAGAGAGUUGACUUGAAAGAGAGCCAGGAGUGUCAACAUUCCAGCAUUUUUGUUCUUUUAAAUUAAUAUCAAUCACUAUCCUUCCUCCAAGUUCCCUGUUCCUUUCAGAUUGCCCAGCUGAGCGCUCAGAAUGGGGCUGAAGCAAAUUAAAUACUGACUCAGCAUCCACAGUGAGUCUGUUGUGCAUUUAUUCUGGGAAAGAUCCAGUGCUAAAUGCUGUCCCUCGUAAUUCCCCCAACCCCCAUCAGAGUCUGCCCCAGGGCCUGAUUCUCCCUCCUGCUUCCAGAGACUCUGUGACCCAGUCGAUGACCAGGACAUAGAGGUCUAGGAGGAACAGUCCAUGUGGCCCCCGGGGUCUGCUCCUGCCUGGCUUGCCUCUGCCCAACUGGGGGUGAGGCGGGAGGCAGGGCAAGUGUGGUGUCUGGGAAAUGGAGAAGAGGGGAGGGCAGCCCAGCCUGGUGACAACACUUGCCUGCCACACCAUCCCUCACCUGCACCCUCCAGUGGACCCACUGCCUCUCGUCCCACCAAUAAUGCUGCUGCUGUUGCUGCUUGCAGGUCCCAGCCUGGACCAGUGCAGAGCCCUCUGACCCCCCUGGCCUGUGGUCCUGUGAACUAACCCUUCACUCCAUCCAUCCUUCCGGCCUGAGAUGGAACCACCAGAGGCUGGAAGGAGCAGAGGAAGAAGAGGCUGAGCCUGGGGGUGAGAGAAGCGCAUAUUGUCUCCUUCUCACCCAUUCCUGGGGGGUCACCGAGAGAGAGAUCCCCUCUGCAGCUGCCCUCUUCUGAGGUGCACAGAUACACACACUCACAGGGUAAUACACAGACAUUACAAACACAGAGACGCACAGGUAAAGAAUCACCCCCAGCCUCACCUGGGGACUCAGGUGUUGGGCUCAUGGGCAGCUCACACACAAACCAACACAGGCAAGGACACCCUGGGGGGAACACACACACAUACACAAGUACACAUACUCAGGGCCAUGUGAGACAGCCCCACAGGGCAGACCCACACACACCCAAGUAGGCGCACACACGCACACACACUCACACACAGACAUGUAGGCAGAGACAUAGACACAGAACACAGCCACAUACACACAGGCACAAAAAGAAGACAAACACACAGAUACAAUCAGGAACACCCAAAGGGACAGCAACUUCACACACAGCACAGUCACAUAUAAAACACAGACACAACUCCACGGACCCAUAUGCCCUGAGACACAGACACACACACGGAUUUGCACAACCAACGUACAUUCAUUCAGUGACAAAGGUGCAAACACAAAUGCAUACCGAUAAAACCAGAGAGACACUCAAUGUCUCAGUGCUGUGCAGUGGGAAAUUCACAUUCACAAUCGAGAUGCUCACAGACACAGAAACUCAGACACACAGGUUCAUACAUGCAGACUUAUACAACCAGUCACACACACACACAUACUCCCAGACAGUUCUGGCACUCCAGUGGAUACCUCCACAGGCAGUCGGGAUGAAUAGACCCUGGCAUUGAGGUAGAAGGUAGACGGGCUCCAGGCUGAGCAGCUGGAGCUUGUCUCCUGCUGACAUUUCAAGGAAAAGAUAAAGGCAGGAGCAGAGAGAAGCUCAGCUCUGCCUAAGUAAAAAGAUAAGACUACCAUAUUUUUCAUUCUUGAGGUCAAGGAGACCUCCUGGACUACACAUGCACAAAACGGUUCCUCAGGGGUCAGAAAAUGGAGGGGGCGCUAGCCCAUAAUAUGUCCUGCCAACCUCUCAGAGACUCUCACACUGGAAUCUAUCUUGGCUAAAAGAUGCCUGUGCACAUUGGGUAGGACCCUGAGUCAGACCAAAUAUGGGCACAAAGCAAGAUGAAUCAAGGUGAUUGGCUAGAGGGAACCCGGAGAACUGCAGCCGUAUAAGCAAUUCAAGCCACCCCAAAAGCAUGACUCUCUCUCUCUGAGCCCAUCCGUGUGUCUUUCCGCAUGUACUUUUCUUCUAAUAAACGCUUUAUCUGCUUCA